CAGUGAGGAAUAUUGCGCAAUGGGGGAAACCCUGACGCAGCGACGCCGCGUGGGUGAGGAAGGCUUUCGGGUCGUAAAGCUCUGUCAGAAGGGAAGAAGUGCUUAUAGGCUAAUACCUUGUAAGUUUGACGGUACCUUCAAAGGAAGCACCGGCUAACUCCGUGCCAGCAGCCGCGGUAAUACGGAGGGUGCAAGCGUUGUUCGGAAUCACUGGGCGUAAAGGGCGCGUAGGCGGCUUGGCAAGUCAGAUGUGAAAGCCCACGGCUUAACCGUGGAAGUGCAUUUGAAACUGCUUGGCUUGAGUAUCAGAGGGGAAAGUGGAAUUCCCGGUGUAGAGGUGAAAUUCGUAGAUAUCGGGAGGAAUACCGGUGGCGAAGGCGACUUUCUGGCUGAAUACUGACGCUGAGGCGCGAAAGCGUGGGGAGCAAACAGGAUUAGAUACCCUGGUAGUCCACGCCGUAAACGAUGUCAACUAGGUGCAGGGGGUGUUGAUCCCCUCUGUGUCGCAGCUAACGCAUUAAGUUGACCGCCUGGGGAGUACGGUCGCAAGAUUAAAACUCAAAGGAAUUGACGG
rnacentral:rRNA from 1 species